rnacentral:rRNA from 1 species
UACGGAGGAUCCAAGCGUUAUCCGGAAUCAUUGGGUUUAAAGGGUCCGUAGGCGGUUUGGUAAGUCAGUGGUGAAAGCCCAUCGCUUAACGAUGGAACGGCCAUUGAUACUGCCAGACUUGAAUUACUGGGAAGUAACUAGAAUAUGUAGUGUAGCGGUGAAAUGCUUAGAUAUUACAUGGAAUACCAAUUGCGAAGGCAGGUUACUACCAGUGGAUUGACGCUGAUGGACGAAAGCGUGGGGAGCCGAA